rnacentral:rRNA from 1 species
UACGUAGGGCGCAAGCGUUGUCCGGAAUUAUUGGGCGUAAAGAGCUCGUAGGCGGCUUGUUGCGUCGGUUGUGAAAGCCCGGGGCUUAACCCCGGAUCUGCAGUCGAUACGGGCAGGCUAGAGUGUGGUAGGGGAGAUCGGAAUUCCUGGUGUAGCGGUGAAAUGCGCAGAUAUCAGGAGGAACACCGGUGGCGAAGGCGGAUCUCUGGGCCAUUGCUGACGCUGAGGAGCGAAAGCGUGGGGAGCGAACAGG